rnacentral:lncRNA from 1 species
CACAGACUAUCUCAUGUGGCCCAAAGGCCCCAGGAAAAGAAAGAAAAUUUUCAGACAGUACAUUUGAAAGGCUUAGAGGUUCCCUUCCAGGAGCUGAGGGCAAAGGGCAAACCUGUCUUCAGCAAACGCUAAUGCAUUACUGCACAGGUCCCUUUAGUCCAUGCUGGCCAGAAAAUCUAUGUUUAAAGCUCUGUGGGUUUUCUAUGAAUUUUGUCGGCAUUUACUCCAUUAGAGAGAACCACAAGUAUCAAUCUCUUCAAGGAAUCCUUUGCCAUCUGAAGAGGCUGGAAAUGAACCACAAGGAAAUUUUUAUUUCCCAAAAGUUAAAACCAAAAUAUCAGGCACACUUCUCUGAAUUGCUCCCAGAAGAGGAAAAGCUCAUGCAAAGGGAUACAAAGGAAGCCAAUGCCUUGAUCAAUGAAGAGAGUGACAAGAGAAAAAAAGAGAAAUAGGUGAAAAAAUAGAAAAUUAAAAAUAUGCUACUGUGUAGAAGAGUCUUGCUAAGGGAGUGGAAGAGAUUAAUUUUAUAUAAAUUAGAAUAAU